rnacentral:tRNA from 1 species
GGGAGUGUAGCUCAGUGGUAGAGCAUUCGACUGCAGAUCGAGAGGUCAGUGGUUCAGCUCCGCUCGCUCCCU